UACGUAGGGGGCAAGCGUUGUCCGGAUUUAUUGGGCGUAAAGAGCGUGUAGGCGGCUUUACAGGUCCGUUGUGAAAACUCGAGGCUCAACCUCGAGACGCCGGUGGAAACCGCAAAGCUAGAGUCCGGAAGAGGAGAGUGGAAUUCCUGGUGUAGCGGUGAAAUGCGCAGAUAUCAGGAGGAACACCCGUGGCGAAAGCGGCUCUCUGGGACGGUACUGACGCUGAGACGCGAAAGCGUGGGGAGCAAACAGG
rnacentral:rRNA from 1 species